rnacentral:rRNA from 1 species
AGGCUUUGAUCCUGGCUCAGGAUGAACGCUGGCGGUAUGCUUAACACAUGCAAGUCGAACGGAGUACUUCGGUACUUAGUGGCGGACGGGUGAGUAACGCGUGAGAAUCUACCUUUAGGACGGGGACAACAAUUGGAAACGAUUGCUAAUACCGGAUAUGCCCUUCGGGGUGAAAGAUUGUAUCGCCUAGAGAUGAGCUCGCGUCCGAUUAGCUAGUAGGUAGUGUAAUGGACUACCUAGGCAAUGAUCGGUAGCUGGUUUGAGAGGACAAUCAGCCACACUGGGACUGAGACACGGCCCAGACUCUACGGGAGGCAGCAGUGGGGAAUUUUCCGCAAUGGGCGCAAGCCUGACGGAGCAAUACCGCGUGGGGGAGGAAGGUCUGUGGAUUGUAAACCCCUUUUCUCAGGGAAGAAGCUCUGACGGUACCUGAGGAAUAAGCAUCGGCUGAAAUC